rfam:Dipodomys ordii contig_16083, whole genome shotgun sequence.
GGGAAGGUAGCUUAGUGGUAGAGUACUUGCCUUACAUGCAUGAGGCCCUGGGUUCGAUUCCUCAGCACCGCCU